rnacentral:misc_RNA from 1 species
AACGCACGAGACCUGCGGACCUGCGGAAGGAUCAUUGAUGAAACAGAAUAGAAUGUGUAUUCACUACACUAUUCUAUUCACACCCACACAUGUGAAGGACAGUUCUCUGUCCAUACACAAUAAUAAUCAUUAUUGAUUUAUCAACAAUCUAUCUAUAAUCAUUAAAACUUUUAACAAUGGAUCUCU